GGCCAUAAUAGCUCAGUUGGUACAGCAUGCAGCUCUUAAUCUAAGGGUUGUGGGUUCAAGCCCCACAAUGGACA